rnacentral:misc_RNA from 1 species
UCCGGCUUGACGCCGGCAGUCUCCUUAGAGUGCCCAACUGAAUGGUGGCAACUAAGGACAAGGGUUGUGCUCGUUGCGGGACUUAACCCAACAUCUCACGACACGAGCUGACGACAGCCAUGCAGCACCUGGAUCCAGGUUCCCCAAAGGGGCACUCCUCCCUUUCGGGAGGAUUCCUGGCUUUUCUAGCCCGGGUAAGGUUCUGCGCGUUGCGUCGAAUUAAACCACAUGCUCCACCGCUUGUGCGGGCCCCCGUCAAUUCCUUUGAGUUUCAACCUUGCGACCGUACUCCCCAGGCGGAAUGCUUAAAGCGUUAGCUGCGCCACUAGUGAGUAAACCCACUAACGGCUGGCAUUCAUCGUUUACGGCGUGGACUAC